rnacentral:misc_RNA from 1 species
CCCUAGCCUCGAUAGGAGCGGUUACCCCACAGCAGGGAAUGGCGUGUUAGGCCUUAGCCGGGAAAGCAAUGGCGCGAGGAGUAAGAGCGGAUAGCGAGAAUAAGC